rnacentral:rRNA from 1 species
GAUGAACGCUGGCGGCGUGCCUAAUACAUGCAAGUCGAGCGAACGGACGAGAAGCUUGCUCCUCUGAUGUUAGCGGCGGACGGGUGAGUAACACGUGGAUAACCUACCUAUAAGACUGGGAUAACUUUGGGAAACCGGAGCUAAUACCGGAUAAUAUUUUGAACCGCAUUGUUCAAAAGUUAAAGACGGUCUUGCUGUCACUUAUAGAUGGAUCCGCGCUGCAUUAGCUAGUUGGUAAGGUAACGGCUUACCAAGGCAACGAUGCAUAGCCGACCUGAGAGGGUGAUCGCACACCCGGGAACUGAGGCACGGUCCAGACUCCUACGGGAGGCAGCAGUAGGGAAUCUUACGCGAUGGACGAAAGCCUGACAGAGCAACGCCGCGUGAGUGAUGAAGGUCUUCGGAUCGUAAAACUCUGUUAUUAGGGAAGAACAAAUGUGUAAGUAACUGUGCACAUCUUGACGGUACCUAAUCAGAAAGCCACGGCUAACUACGUG